rnacentral:rRNA from 1 species
GGAAUCUUCCGCAAUGGGCGAAAGCCUGACGGAGCAACGCCGCGUGAGUGAAGAAGGGUUUCGGCUCGUAAAGCUCUGUUGACGGGGACGAAUGUGCGAAAUGCGAAUAGUUUUUCGCAAUGACGGUACCCGUCGAGGAAGCCACGGCUAACUACGUGCCAGCAGCCGCGGUAAUACGUAGGUGGCAAGCGUUAUCCGGAUUUAUUGGGCGUAAAGCGAGCGCAGGCGGUUUCUUAAGUCUGAUGUGAAAGCCUUCGGCUUAACCGAAGAAGUGCAUCGGAAACUGGGAAACUUGAGUGCAGAAGAGGACAGUGGAACUCCAUGUGUAGCGGUGAAAUGCGUAGAUAUAUGGAAGAACACCAGUGGCGAAGGCGGCUGUCUGGUCUGUAACUGACGCUGAGGCUCGAAAGCAUGGGUAGCGAACA